CCUAGCUGUAAGCAACUGCCUAGAUUGCGUUGUAUCUAGGCAAGUGUUACACUGCUGGGAGAAAAGUAGCAAGUAGCUGGCGGGCGUUCUGGGUCUGGUUAAUGCCAAAUGUGUGCUAACUAU
rnacentral:snoRNA from 1 species